CUUUGGGAUAACCCUCGGAAACGGGGGCUAAUACCGGAUAUGACUUCGCAUCGCAUGGUGUGGGGUGGAAAGUUUUUCGGCCUGGGAUGGGCUCGCGGCCUAUCAGCUUGUUGGUGGGGUGAUGGCCUACCAAGGCGACGACGGGUAGCCGGCCUGAGAGGGCGACCGGCCACACUGGGACUGAGACACGGCCCAGACUCCUACGGGAGGCAGCAGUGGGGAAUAUUGCACAAUGGGCGGAAGCCUGAUGCAGCGACGCCGCGUGAGGGAUGACGGCCUUCGGGUUGUAAACCUCUUUCAGCGGGGACGAAGCGCAAGUGACGGUACCUGCAGAAGAAGCGCCGGCCAACUACGUGCCAGCAGCCGCGGUAAGACGUAGGGCGCGAGCGUUGUCCGGAUUUAUUGGGCGUAAAGAGCUCGUAGGCGGCUUGUCGCGUCGACUGUGAAAACCCGCAGCUUAACUGCGGGCCUGCAGUCGAUACGGGCAGGCUAGAGUUCGGUAGGGGAGACUGGAAUUCCUGGUGUAGCGGUGAAAUGCGCAGAUAUCAGGAGGAACACCGGUGGCGAAGGCGGGUCUCUGGGCCGAUACUGACGCUGAGGAGCGAAAGCGUGGGGAGCGAACAGGAUUAGAUACCCUGGUAGUCCACGCUGUAAACGUUGGGCGC
rnacentral:rRNA from 1 species